GGGCCCGCACAAGCGGUGGAGUAUGUGGUUUAAUUCGAAGAUACGCGCAGAACCUUACCAACACUUGACAUGUUCGUCGCGACUCUAAGAGAUUAGAGUUUUCGGUUCGGCCGGACGAAACACAGGUGCUGCAUGGCUGUCGUCAGCUCGUGUCGUGAGAUGUUGGGUUAAGUCCCGCAACGAGCGCAACCCUCACUUUUAGUUGCCAUCAUUAAGUUGGGCACUCUGAAAGAACUGCCAGUGAUAAGCUGGAGGAAGGUGGGGAUGACGUCAAGUCCUCAUGGCCCUUACGUGUUGGGCUACACACGUGCUACAAUGGUAUCUACAACAGGAAGUAAGACGGCGACGUCAAGCAAAUCCUUAAAAGAUACCUCAGUUCGGAUUGCACUCUGCAACUCGAGUGCAUGAAGCUGGAAUUACUAGUAAUCG
rnacentral:rRNA from 1 species